GACAUGGCUCAGGAUGAACGCUAGCUACAGGCUUAACACAUGCAAGUCGAGGGGAAACGAUAUUGGAAGCUUGCUUCCGAUAGGCGUCGACCGGCGCACGGGUGAGUAACGCGUAUCCAACCUGCCCACCACUUGGGGAUAGCCUUGCGAAAGUAAGACUAAUACCCAAUGAUAUCUCUAGAAGACAUCUGAAAGAGAUUAAAGAUUCAUCGGUGAUGGAUGGGGAUGCGU
rnacentral:rRNA from 1 species